GACUUCCCCUGGGUGUCUCGGCAGUGCCAGAAGUGUUCGAGUUUUUUUCUCUAAAAGAGCAAUUUUCUCCAGCGCGGCAUGUCCCGCUGUUCUCGUGGGUGCAACACACUCAUCGAGGAGGGGGACGGACACGAUGUCUGCUUCCAGCACGCUGGGGCAGACAUUGUGGAUACUUCCUGCCCGCACUGCGGGCGGUUGACGAUUCAGACGUGGCGUUCACAGGUGGCUGUGUUCCCAAGGGACUCAGCUACCACCUCGUCUGCUUCCCGUUCCGUGACGGCAGGACUACGGCCAUGCCGUACGCUACGGCAAGCAGCGAGGGUGAUAUGAGGAUUACUGUGGGCGUUAAUCCGUCAGCCACUAACUCACGGACCGUUCGCACCUCGUCUCGCUCGUCUGACCGUUCCCCAGGAGACAGUCCCACCGUCUUGUUCCUCAACCACGUAUUUGGAAACGGUGCGUGAUGAUGAGAUGUCACUUGCAGCAUCGGGGGGUGACGUACUGCCAUCCAACUCCGACGAUUCCUCUGGGCUCCCUCCCUCGGGGGGUCGAGCCCAGGAAGAAGCGGAUGUCAAAAUUUCAGCCAUGCUUUCCCGGGCCGCCAUGAGUGUUGGGUUGCAGUGCCCGCACUGUCUCUCCCAGCGCUCGCGGCCGGAUAUAUGGUGACUCGGGUUUGAGCGCUGCCCCUUUUCGGCACGUCCACGUCAAACAAGUUCUGUCGCCCUCUCUUCCCUCGAGGGUGAGGCAGCUAGAGGAUAUGUCAAUGUCCCCCAGGUGGAGUGUGCCGGCAGGCGGCGGCCACCUGGGGGGCUCGACCUAGACUCCUGUCCUAAGCAUGUAGGGUUUCAGCAUCUCUGGUGUCGAGAGCUUACAUUGCUGCGGGCCAACCUGCCUCCUCUCUCCACGCUAUGGCCAUCCUGCCAGGACAAGGCUUUGAGAGAUCUCCCCGAGGGUAAGACCGAACCAGCGCUUAUGCAGGAACUCCGCGCCGCCACCGACCUCGCUCUACGGGCGACCAAGGUGACCGCGCGGGCCCUGGGUCGGGCGAUGUCCACACUUGUGGUCCAUGACAGAUACCUCUGGCCGAACCUUGCACAGAUGGGUAGUGUUUCCCAGGAAAGCUUUAUUUGGUGUCUUUCGUCUAUGUGUCAUUUGUCACAUUCGUGAACAGAACGAAGAUGAUCCGGCUGCUAGCCCGCGUGUGAAUGCUGCGGGUGACAGGUAGCAUUGUACACAGAAACUUUUAGUAUUAUUUGUGGCGGCGUUUAGUACUUUUACUUUUAAACGCCAAUAAGCACUGACAUCUGGGGAUUCAUCAGUUGUAAAAACCAAGAAAGUACGAACUGAUGAGAGUUUACAAAGAAAAAGGGAAUGUGUUAGGACUCGUGUGAAAACAAGAAUUAAUAUUGGCAAGGGAUUUCAAAGGUGGCGUGAACUCCAUGAUCUGAAAGGAUUGAAAACGGAUGCAGACAUGGCUUUAUUUCUUCUGAACAGAACAGGUAAGACAUUUCAAUAUUUCAAUAGAUAACACAAAUACCGUAGCGCACUUGUUGUGUUAAUUCAGAUGGGUACUUGUCAUGGUUCUGCCCCAUCUUGUCUUGCUUUUCUUGACCUAGUGGCAGAAUCAUGACAGAACCUCUUGUUUUACGUGGAGAGAGAUGUUUUGGCCCUGUUGGCCAUCCACUCUCCGGUGUCGCGUCUCUGUUCCCGCCCUUUCGUCUCUUUAAUUGCUUGUUAUUGGUUUCAUGCCCCACACCUGUUCCCUCUUGAUUUGUCCCCUUAUUUAAUGCCCCUGUGUCCUCUGUCUUGGGCUGGAUCAUUGUACUGUUGUGUUGUGUUUGUGUCAUUGUGGUGAGUUCCUGUGCUGUAGUCAGUCUAGUUUAUUGUGGUUAAUGUCAAGUGUUGUUAUUAUUUCUAGUGUAGUUAGUCCUUGUUCCUGUUUCCAUGUUUUGUUAUGUUCCCCAUCGUGGGUUUUUGUUUUGUAUUAAUAUAUUAUUAAAGUCUUGUUUAAACAAGACUUUAAUAACAACAAAAAAAAAAGGAGAAUAGCGCUUGAGUCCUUGAGACGCUCCUGUUUCCUGCAACAGGCUUCCUGUUUCCUGCAUCGCUGCCGGCGGCUCGUUUGUAUCAGUGCUCUUACCACUUCGCUCUAAUAUUAGUGUAUUUUAUUGUCGUUGCUAACUUAUCCUGAUAUCUCAAUAACCCUGUUCUUGUUAUCUACUUGAAAAUUCUAAACCAAAAGUGAUAGUUAACUUAACGCCGUUAGCAUAGCAAUAGCGUGUUAGCUUGCUUUCUGUUUACACUGUGGAAUAUCAUCUUGCCUCUGGUUUGUCUUGUGUGCUAACCGUUUCUCUUUUUAAGCGAUUAUACUACGAUCCAUCGAGCAACCUUGGUUACCACAGCGAGCAGGAUGCAGUUCAUGGCCUGACCUGAUGGUAGAGCGGAGAAUGGGAAGUGGGGACCUGACAAGAGCUGAGAUGAUAGAGCUGGAUAAAGAAGGACGCGGUCUCUUGACAUGUCUUCACCACAAAAUUUCAAAUGCUAUUAGAUUAUUAAUGAUAAUCUUAAACUAUAAUUUAUUUUAUUAUUAAGUUUAUUUAUUUUAUUUAGCCUUGUUGUGCAAGUUCUCUGGAGCUUGUGCAGAGGCAGCAGCUUUUGCCAGAGGGGAACUGGAAUCCCCUGGUUGGGCCUGGGUUCUCCUGAGGUUUUUUUUCUCGAUUAGAGUUUUGGGUUCCUCGCCACCGUUUGCAUACUGUUUUUGCACUAUCUGCCUGACCGGGGGGGCUGCUUUAGAAUCUUAAAGUUUUACUUAAUUAAUAUUGCAUAUAGGAAUUUAUUAUCUGUUAUAUUUGACCUGUGCUUCUCUCUCCUUUAUCCUAAAUGUGUGCUCUCACUGAGCGUGUGUGUGUGUGCGUACUUGUCUGUGUACGUACGUGUGUGUGUGUCUCUGUGUCUGUGUGUGUUGGUGUGUGUGCGUGUUGUGUGUGUGGAGUGUUUUGUGUGUGGGUGUGUCUGUCUUCUGUGUUUUCAACCUUUUCUUGUUUUUGCAGGUACAACUUUGAUUGUUUUGCUUGUAGUCAAUGUGUCUCCUGUACAGCUGCUUUGUAACAAUGAAAAUUGUAAAAGCGCUAUAUAAAUAAAGUUGAGUUGAGAGUUGA